ACGAACGCUGGCGGCGUGCUUAACACAUGCAAGUCGAGCGGUAAGGCCCUUCGGGGUACGACGAGCGGCGAACGGGUGAGUAACACGUGGGUGACCUGCCUCUAGCUCUGGGAUAAGCCUGGGAAACUGGGUCUAAUACCGGAUAUGACUCCACGGCGCAUGUUGUGGGGUGGAAAGCCUUGUGUGGCUAGAGAUGGGCCCGCGGCCUAUCAGCUUGUUGGUGGGGUGAUGGCCUACCAAGGCGACGACGGGUAGCCGGCCUGAGAGGGCGACCGGCCACACUGGGACUGAGACACGGCCCAGACUCCUACGGGAGGCAGCAGUGGGGAAUCUUGCGCAAUGGGCGAAAGCCUGACGCAGCGACGCCGCGUGAGGGAUGACGGCCU
rnacentral:rRNA from 1 species